AGCUCCAAUAGCGUAUAUUAAAGUUGCUGCAGUUAAAAAGCUCGUAGUUGCAUUUCCGAGGCAAGGGAUUAGUCCGACCUUUGGUGGGUAUUUAAUCCUCUUGCCUCGUCCUUGAGUGGUGCUUCUUGGUAUUAAGUUAUCGAGGAGAUAGCCGCUCAUCGUUUACUGUGAGAAAAUUAGAGUGUUCAAAGCAGGCUUAUGCCGUUGAAUAUAUUAGCAUGGAAUAAUAAGAUAGGACCUCGGUACUAUUUUGUUGGUUUGAGAACCAAGGUAAUGAUGAAUAGGGACAGUUGGGGGUAUUCGUAUUCAGUUGUCAGAGGUGAAAUUCUUAGAUUUACUGAAGACGAACUACUGCGAAAGCAUUUACCAAGGAUGUUUGCA
rnacentral:rRNA from 1 species